rnacentral:rRNA from 1 species
GACGAACGCUGGCGGCGUGCUUAACACUUGCAAGUCGAACGGAAAGGCCCUGCUUUUGUGGGGUGCUCGAGUGGCGAACGGGUGAGUAACACGUGAGUAACCUGCCCUUGACUUUGGGAUAACUUCAGGAAACUGGGGCUAAUACCGGAUAGGAGCUCCUGCUGCAUGGUGGGGGUUGGAAAGUUUCGGCGGUUGGGGAUGGACUCGCGGCUUAUCAGCUUGUUGGUGGGGUAGUGGCUUACCAAGGCUUUGACGGGUAGCCGGCCUGAGAGGGUGACCGGCCACAUUGGGACUGAGAUACGGCCCAGACUCCUACGGGAGGCAGCAGUGGGGAAUAUUGCACAAUGGGCGGAAGCCUGAUGCAGCAACGCCGCGUGCGGGAUGACGGCCUUCGGGUUGUAAACCGCUUUCGCCUGUGACGAAGCGUGAGUGACGGUAAUGGGUAAAGAAGCACCGGCUAACUACGUG